AUUGAACGCUGGCGGCAGGCUUAACACAUGCAAGUCGAGCGGGGGAAGGUAGCUUGCUACCUAACCUAGCGGCGGACGGGUGAGUAAUGCUUAGGAAUCUGCCUAUUAGUGGGGGACAACAUUUCGAAAGGGAUGCUAAUACCGCAUACGCCCUAAGGGGGAAAGCAGGGGAUCUUCGGACCUUUCGCUAAUAGAUGAGCCUAAGUCGGAGUAGCUAGUUGGCGGGGUAAAGGCCUACCAAGGCGACGAUCUGUAGCGGGUCUGAGAGGAUGAUCCGCACACUGGGACUGAGACACGGCCCAGACUCCUACGGGAGGCAGCAGUGGGGAAUAUUGGACAAUGGGGGGAACCCUGAUCCAGCCAUGCCGCGUGUGUGAAGAAGGCCUUUUGGUUGUAAAGCACUUUAAGCGAGGAGGAGGCUACCGAGAUUAAUACUCUUGGAUAGUGGACGUUACUCGCAGAAUAAGCACCGGCUAACUCUGUGCCAGCCGCCGCCGUAAUAC
rnacentral:rRNA from 1 species